AUUGAACGCUGGCGGCAUGCCUUACACAUGCAAGUCGAACGGUAACAGGUCUUCGGAUGCUGACGGGUGGCGAACGGGUGAGUAAUACAUCGGAACGUGCCUAGUAGUGGGGGAUAACUACUCGAAAGAGAGGCUAAUACCGCAUGAGAUCUACGGAUGAAAGCAGGGGAUCGCAAGACCUUGUGCUACUAGAGCGGCCGAUGGCAGAUUAGGUAGUUGGUGGGAUAAAAGCUUACCAAGCCGACGAUCUGUAGCUGGUCUGAGAGGACGAUCAGCCACACUGGGACUGAGACACGGCCCAGACUCCUACGGGAGGCAGCAGUGGGGAAUUUUGGACAAUGGGCGCAAGCCUGAUCCAGCAAUGCCGCGUGCAGGAUGAAGGCCUUCGGGUUGUAAACUGCUUUUGUACGGAACGAAAAGCCCCGGGUUAAUACCCUGGGGUCAUGACGGUACCGUAAGAAUAAGCACCGGCUAACUACGUGCCAGCAGCCGCCGUAA
rnacentral:rRNA from 1 species